UACGGAGGGUGCAAGCGUUAAUCGGAAUUACUGGGCGUAAAGCGUGCGCAGGCGGUUUGUUAAGUCUGGUGUGAAAUCCCCGAGCUCAACUUGGGAAUUGCAAUCGAUACUGGCGGGCUGGAGUAUGGUAGAGGAAGGUGGAAUUCCCGGUGUAGCAGUGAAAUGCGUAGAGAUCGGGAGGAACACCAGUGGCGAAGGCGGCCUUCUGGACCAAUACUGACGCUCAUGCACGAAAGCGUGGGGAGCAAACAGG
rnacentral:rRNA from 1 species